rnacentral:rRNA from 1 species
ACCAGACUCCUACGGGAGGCAGCAGUGGGGAAUAUUGCACAAUGGGGGAAACCCUGAUGCAGCGACGCCGCGUGAGUGAAGAAGUAUUUCGGUAUGUAAAGCUCUAUCAGCAGGAACGAGACAAGACGGUACCUGACUAAGAAGCCCCGGCUAACUACGUGCCAGCAGCCGCGGUAAUACGUAGGGGGCAAGCGUUAUCCGGAAUCACUGGGUGUAAAGGGAGCGUAGACGACUGUGCAAGCCUGAAGUGAAAGGCGGGGGCCCAACCCCUGGACUGCUUUGGGAACUGUACGGCUGGAGUGCAGGAGAGGUAAGUGGAAUUCCUAGUGUAGCGGUGAAAUGCGUAGAUAUUAGGAGGAACACCAGUGGCGAAGGCGGCUUACUGGACUGUAACUGACGUUGAGGCUCGAAAGCGUGGGGAGCAAACAGGAUUAGAUACCCUGGUAC